rnacentral:rRNA from 1 species
GACGAACGCUGGCGGCGUGCUUAACACAUGCAAGUCGAACGGAGAGGCCCUGCUUUUGUGGGGUGCUCGAGUGGCGAACGGGUGAGUAACACGUGAGUAACCUGCCCUUGACUUUGGGAUAACUUCAGGAAACUGUGGCUAAUACCUGAUAGUGUCUCCUGCUGCAUGGUGGGGGUUGGAAAGUUUCGGCGGUUGGGGAUGGACUCGCUGCUUAUCAGCUUGUUGGUGGGGUAGUGGCUUACCAAGGCUUUGACGGGUAGCCGGCCUGAGAGGGUUACCGGCAACAUGGGGACGGAGAUACGGCCCGGAGUCCUAAGGGAGGAAGAAGUGGGAAAAAUGGAAAAAUGGGGCAAAGACUGAGGAAGAAAGGCCGCGGGCGGGAUAACGGCUUUCGGGUUAUAAACCGAUGUCGCAGGUAACAAAGCGUGAGUGACGGUAAUGGGUAAAGAAGCAACGGCUAACUACGUG